rnacentral:misc_RNA from 1 species
AAGUCGUAACAAGGUUUCCGUAGGUGAACCUGCGGAAGGAUCAUUAUCGAAUUUUGUGAGGGGUUGUCGCUGGCCCAGAAGGGCAUGUGCACGCCCCGAACAUCCUCCACACACCUGUGCACUUUCUGUAGGGACCGGUUGUGGCGCCGAGCCGCUUCCGCUUCCUAUGUCUUUCACAAACGCAUCAGUUGUAGAAUGUCUCUUGCUAUAAACGCAUAAAUAUAACUUUCAGCAACGGAUCUCUUGGCUCUC